rnacentral:rRNA from 1 species
GGGCCCGCACAAGCGGUGGAGCAUGUGGUUUAAUUCGAUGAUACGCGAGGAACCUUACCAGGGCUUAAAUGUAGAACGACCGAUUUGGAAACAAGUCUUCUCUUUGAGCGGUCUACAAGGUGCUGCAUGGUUGUCGUCAGCUCGUGCCGUGAGGUGUCGGGUUAAGUCCCUUAACGAGCGCAACCCCUAUCUCUAGUUGCCAGCGGAUAAUGCCGGGGACUCUAGAGAAACUGCCCGUGCAAACGGUGAGGAAGGUGGGGAUGACGUCAAAUCAUCACGGCCCUUACGUCCUGGGCUACACACGUGCUACAAUGGUCGGUACAGAGGGCAGCUACCACGUGAGUGGAUGCAAAUCUCGAAAGCCGAUCUCAGUUCGGAUUGGAGUCUGCAACUCGACUCCAUGAAGCUGGAAUCGCUAGUAAUCG